CCGGGCCCGCUGAGGAUGGACGCGGCUCGUUGAGGCACAGCGGGCCGGGCACGGGCUGUGCCGUUCGUGGCUGUGCUGCAGGGGAGGGUGUCACCCCCAGAGCCGCCGGCAGCCCCUCAGAGCACCCCGCUCCUCUGCCAGAUCCACCGCGUGUGGGCCGGCAGAGGUGCGGCUCAUCUGCCGCUGGGGACACCAAAGAGGCCUGGGGCUGACAGCACCUGCCCUGGGGACACCAAAGAGGUCUGGGGCUGACAGCACCUGCCCUGGGGACACCGCCUGACGGGGGUCUGAGAGGGUACACUGUGUGUGUCCUGUUUGUGAGCAGGCCUUUGGCAUUGUCUCCACAACUAGCAGUGAUGAGCACCUGAUAAUCCUGUAUUCUCCAAGCUGAGCUUUUGUGUGAAAGAACAUGAGGCCAUAUAGCGCCUGAGAAGAAGAAAGCAAAUUAUUGGAAAAGUGUUAUAAGAUGGGUGCACUAAGGCUGCUGCAAAAUGGAUGAAGCAAAAACAGGGAGAGAGAUUGAGGGGAUCACACAAGUGAGUGUGAGAUCAGGAUAUUCAGGAAGUCUGAAGGAGGGAGGAUCUGGCAUGAUAAUGACUGAAAUAUUGAUUAAAGUCCAGUGUCUUCAUCAAAACCUGGAGCUCCUGACUUGGGUAGGAGAAGCACAACUGCAUGAAAAAGGAGAAUUGCUCAUAAGGCCCAAUGUCUUUAUCAAAACCUGGAGCUCCUGACUUGGGUGGGAGAAGCACAACUGCAUGAAAAAGGAGAAUUGCUCAUAAUUCAGGCACAGCUUUAGCACCUCUGGGGAAGUAAUGGCUGUUUUGUUUACAAUGGGCAGCCUGGAUCCAGUUCUUCCUUCCCAAAGUGCAUUUGUGCUGCAGAGAAUAUGUAGGGAUUGUGAAUGUACUCCUAAGUAGCAUUCCACAGUUGAACUAAUUGCCAGGCCAAGCGAGGGACCACAGUAAAUGGGUGAAUAAUUUGAUCCAAGAUGGAUUUGUACUCUACCAACACAGCCUGAAAUCUUCUAAUGCUUUUGGAUUUGACUGUGAGCUGUUCAUUGUUGUUUGAGCCUGUUCUUUUCUAUUACCAUAUUUUCUCUGGAUAUCAUUUCUGUGUACCUUAUCUUUGUAUAAAAGGCCACAUCUUUACCAUAUUUCCAGGGAGUAGUCAGUAGAGGCAUACAAAAUUUACUGCUGUAGACCAAAAUAUGACAGAUAAAGGUAGUGCAUUACAAAGUUCUUGCCCUCAAUCACGCAGAAGGCUCUCUAUGCUUCUGUGAGCAGUGGCACGAGUGUGGCUGCACUGUAAUGGGAGAAGGGUUAACAGCAAACCAAGACAUUUUCUGCAGCAAAAAGAGGUGGACUCUUCUCCAAGCAAUUACCUUUUAUGUAAUAAACAAUGUCAGUGGUCAAUAGAGGGAGUUUUCUUACCUAAUCCCCUUUCAUUUAGCUUAAAAUAGAAGUGCUAUUAGUUUGACUAGCAGGUUGGUGUAUCAAGCCUGGUCAUACCUGGUUGCAUGUUAAAUUUAACUGCUAGCAGAAAUGUUCCUCCAGUAGCUUUUGUCUAUGCUUUCCUUGAAUAAAAUACAAUAAUACAUGCUGGAGCUUCAGUGGUGUUAGGUGCUUUUGUCAGAUGUGUGUAUUGAUAUGCUGCAGCCUUUUGGAAUACAGAGUGCAUUGCUUUUUUAUUACAGAUUUUAUUGGCAUCAUGAAGUUGUGAGUAGCUUUUCCUGUACUUUUAGCUUGUAUUGGCUCUGAAAAUCCAGCUUAAUUACUAAUGGAUACUUUCAAAAAUCAUUUAUUUCUGGUAAAGGGUGCACAUAAUCUGUUAUCAUUAGAUAUCUGCUGGCAGUAGAUACAGCACAGCUUGUGCUUUGGCUAACCCUUGAAGGAGGGGAAGGUUUGAUAAAUGAGAAAAGCCAAAAGCUUUUGUGCUUAUAUGUGCUUAAGGUAAUGAGGAGUUUAAAGAUUACAACAGCAUAUCUGUCCUUCAAUGGAUGUGAUGUUCCUCAAGGAUGCGGUGAGAUGUGACAGAAUGGUCACACAGCUGAGUAGCCCUCAGCUCAGUUACAGGACACAGAAAAACAGAGCUUCAAGGCACCAUGUUUCCUUUGUGCUUCAUACAUCACCUGUCUGCUGUCCUUUCUAGUGGAGUGCAGCUACUGUGAUCUCUUUCCUGACCAUCAGUUUUCUU